GGUUGGGUCUGAGUGGGCUGGAAAGCGGCGAAAGGGCCUGGGGCGUCAAGGGCUAGGAGCUGUGGAAGGGCACUGCGUGUUGGCCACCCCCGAUGCAAUUCUAGCCUCCAUGCGCCGCCAACAGCCCUCGCGACCUGAGUCGCACCUGCUCACUCGCCUGGUCCACGAGCAACAGGUUCUGAGGCCGGGGUCCUCGGAAGCUGGUGGCUCCUCCUGCCCAUGGUGCUCAUGUGCGUCUGGGGCCGGCUUGCGAGUGGCCGGGUGCAUCCAGCUAGUGCGUGUUCUGCAGACUGACAAACCUCUGGACUUGCAGUAAAGUCAACUGUUGGGCCAGGUCCAGGAUCUCCUUGUAUAAAGCAGACUCCCUCUGGCUUGAUGAACAUGCAUCUGAAAAAAAUUAAAAGGGCUCAAGACACAGAUGGGAAUGGUGAGGAUCUCCAGCUAAAGAAAAAAAUGCAAGUAACCAUGGGAUGGUGAAGGAGCCUACUCAAGGUAGUUGCUUCUUUCUUUUUCUUAUGAAGCAUGCAGAAAGAAGAAGCAUCUGUUCUGAGAGCAAAGAAGAUGAAAACAUAAAUUAAAAAUUCAGUCCCAGUGAGCCGCCUUCUGUAUCUGAGUCAGAGAGAAGAGAGCCAGUUACACAAAAAAUCAUCUGUGGGGAAGCAUAAGGAGUUUGGAAUCAGCCACAUCUGCCUUUGAAUCCUCUCUGCCAUUUACUAGGUGCAUGAUCUUGUGUUUUCAUAGAAGGCUCCUGUUCCAUUAUACCAAGACAUCUAAACUUCUCCCUAAAGAUCUUCAAAGAAGUGAAUAGAAAUUUCUCUAAUGGUGUUCCAGAUCCAUCAGAUAAUUCCAUUUGAGAUUUCUGAGGAGAUUCUAUGCCAGUAAUUUUCAUUCUUCUAAUUUUUUAGGAUACGGUUUUUUAAAACUUCUAAUUAGACAGAAUUCAUUACAUUAGACCAUGUCAUUUAUAAUAUUUAUAUGAUUCCAAACAGUCACAUAUUCAAUAAAAAUGAGUCAUCAAAUUAUGUGAUCAAUUUGUCUUUAUUUACUUUGCUAAAACUUAAAUUUAUAAAACCUGCAUGCUGAUAGCAUCUUACAUUUGAUGAAAUUCAGUGUUCUGUGGUUUCCACUUGUGCACAUUCAACAAGAUUGGGUCCUAUUACUAGAAGGACCCUAUUGUGUUUUAUGUGAUGAUCCUGCAGCUUGGAACUUCACAGUAAGUGAGGUAUUGAUUUGAGCUCAAUACCUGCUGAACAUAGUUCCUCAAAGUGCCAAAAAAAAGUACCUGCUAAAUGAAAGAAUCUUUCAACCCUGGAGUGGGGAGAAUGAUUUUUAAUAAAUGUGAGUGGUUUUUGCAUGUUGCAGGGAAUUUUGAAAAUAUCAUUUAUCCUAAAUAUACAAUCCAAUGUGAUUUAUUUGUUUUGCGUGUGGAAAUGUCACCUGCC